UGGGGAAUUUUGCGCAAUGGGCGAAAGCCUGACGCAGCGACGCCGCGUGGGUGAUGAAGGCCUUCGGGUUGUAAAGCCCUGUGGGGAGGGAAGAAUAAGGGGUGGCGAAUAGGCACUCUGAUGACGGUACCUCCUUAGCAAGCACCGGCUAACUCUGUGCCAGCAGCCGCGGUAAGACAGAGGGUGCGAACGUUGUUCGGAAUUACUGGGCGUAAAGCGCGUGUAGGCGGCCGAGCAAGUCGGAUGUGAAAGCCCUUAGCUCAACUGAGGAAGUGCAUUCGAGACUGAGCGGCUUGAGUUCCGGAGAGGAUGGUGGAAUUCUCGGUGUAGAGGUGAAAUUCGUAGAUAUCGAGAGGAACACCGGUGGCGAAGGCGGCCAUCUGGACGGAAACUGACGCUGAGACGCGAAAGCAUGGGGAGCAAACAGG
rnacentral:rRNA from 1 species